rnacentral:rRNA from 1 species
GGUUAAGCGACUAAGCGUACACGGUGGAUGCCCCCGGCAGUCAGAGGCGAUGAAGGACGUGCUAAUCUGCGAUAAGCGUCGGUAAGGUGAUAUGAACCGUUAUAACCGGCGAUUUCCGAAUGGGGAAACCCAGUGUGUUUCGACACACUAUCAUUAACUGAAUCCAUAGGUUAAUGAGGGCGAACCGGGGGAACUGAAACAUCUAAGUACCCCGAGGAAAAGAAAUCAACCGAGAUUCCCCCCAGUAGCGGCGAGCGAACGGGGAGGAGCCCAGAGCCUGAAUCAGUGUGUGUGUUAGUGGAAGCGUCUGGAAAGGCGCGCGAUACAGGGUGACAGCCCCGUACACAAAAAUGCACAUGCUGUGAGCUCGAUGAGUAGGGCGGGACACGUGGUAUCCUGUCUGAAUAUGGGGGGACCAUCCUCCAAGGCUAAAUACUCCUGACUGACCGAUAGUGAACCAGUACCGUGAGGGAAAGGCGAAAAGAACCCCGGCGAGGGGAGUGAAAAAGAACCUGAAACCGUGUACGUACAAGCAGUGGGAGCACAGAGCAAUCUGUGUGACUGCGUACCUUUUGUAUAAUGGGUCAGCGACUUAUAUUCUGUAGCAAGGUUAACCGAAUAGGGGAGCCGAAGGGAAACCGAGUCUUAACUGGGCGUUAAGUUGCAGGGUAUAGACCCGAAACCCGGUGAUCUAGCCAUGGGCAGGUUGAAGGUUGGGUAACACUAACUGGAGGACCGAACCGACUAAUGUUGAAAAAUUAGCGGAUGACUUGUGGCUGGGGGUGAAAGGCCAAUCAAACCGGGAGAUAGCUGGUUCUCCCCGAAAGCUAUUUAGGUAGCGCCUCGUGAAUUCAUCUCCGGGGGUAGAGCACUGUUUCGGCAAGGGGGUCAUCCCGACUUACCAACCCGAUGCAAACUGCGAAUACCGGAGAAUGUUAUCACGGGAGACACACGGCGGGUGCUAACGUCCGUCGUGAAGAGGGAAACAACCCAGACCGCCAGCUAAGGUCCCAAAGUCAUGGUUAAGUGGGAAACGAUGUGGGAAGGCCCAGACAGCCAGGAUGUUGGCUUAGAAGCAGCCAUCAUUUAAAGAAAGCGUAAUAGCUCACUGGUCGAGUCGGCCUGCGCGGAAGAUGUAACGGGGCUAAACCAUGCACCGAAGCUGCGGCAGCGACACUGUGUGUUGUUGGGUAGGGGAGCGUUCUGUAAGCCUGUGAAGGUGUGCUGUGAGGCAUGCUGGAGGUAUCAGAAGUGCGAAUGCUGACAUAAGUAACGAUAAAGCGGGUGAAAAGCCCGCUCGCCGGAAGACCAAGGGUUCCUGUCCAACGUUAAUCGGGGCAGGGUGAGUCGACCCCUAAGGCGAGGCCGAAAGGCGUAGUCGAUGGGAAACAGGUUAAUAUUCCUGUACUUGGUGUUACUGCGAAGGGGGGGACGGAGAAGGCUAUGUUGGCCGGGCGACGGUUGUCCCGGUUUAAGCGUGUAGGCUGGUUUUCCAGGCAAAUCCGGAAAAUCAAGGCUGAGGCGUGAUGACGAGGCACUACGGUGCUGAAGCAACAAAUGCCCUGCUUCCAGGAAAAGCCUCUAAGCAUCAGGUAACAUCAAAUCGUACCCCAAACCGACACAGGUGGUCAGGUAGAGAAUACCAAGGCGCUUGAGAGAACUCGGGUGAAGGAACUAGGCAAAAUGGUGCCGUAACUUCGGGAGAAGGCACGCUGAUAUGUAGGUGAAGUCCCUCGCGGAUGGAGCUGAAAUCAGUCGAAGAUACCAGCUGGCUGCAACUGUUUAUUAAAAACACAGCACUGUGCAAACACGAAAGUGGACGUAUACGGUGUGACGCCUGCCCGGUGCCGGAAGGUUAAUUGAUGGGGUCAGCGCAAGCGAAGCUCUUGAUCGAAGCCCCGGUAAACGGCGGCCGUAACUAUAACGGUCCUAAGGUAGCGAAAUUCCUUGUCGGGUAAGUUCCGACCUGCACGAAUGGCGUAAUGAUGGCCAGGCUGUCUCCACCCGAGACUCAGUGAAAUUGAACUCGCUGUGAAGAUGCAGUGUACCCGCGGCAAGACGGAAAGACCCCGUGAACCUUUACUAUAGCUUGACACUGAACAUUGAGCCUUGAUGUGUAGGAUAGGUGGGAGGCUUUGAAGUGUGGACGCCAGUCUGCAUGGAGCCGACCUUGAAAUACCACCCUUUAAUGUUUGAUGUUCUAACGUGGACCCGUGAUCCGGGUUGCGGACAGUGUCUGGUGGGUAGUUUGACUGGGGCGGUCUCCUCCUAAAGAGUAACGGAGGAGCACGAAGGUUGGCUAAUCCUGGUCGGACAUCAGGAGGUUAGUGCAAUGGCAUAAGCCAGCUUGACUGCGAGCGUGACGGCGCGAGCAGGUGCGAAAGCAGGUCAUAGUGAUCCGGUGGUUCUGAAUGGAAGGGCCAUCGCUCAACGGAUAAAAAGGUACUCCGGGGAUAACAGGCUGAUACCGCCCAAGAGUUCAUAUCGACGGCGGUGUUUGGCACCUCGAUGUCGGCUCAUCACAUCCUGGGGCUGAAGUAGGUCCCAAGGGUAUGGCUGUUCGCCAUUUAAAGUGGUACGCGAGCUGGGUUUAGAACGUCGUGAGACAGUUCGGUCCCUAUCUGCCGUGGGCGCUGGAGAACUGAGGGGGGCUGCUCCUAGUACGAGAGGACCGGAGUGGACGCAUCACUGGUGUUCGGGUUGUCAUGCCAAUGGCACUGCCCGGUAGCUAAAUGCGGAAGAGAUAAGUGCUGAAAGCAUCUAAGCACGAAACUUGCCCCGAGAUGAGUUCUCCCUGACCCUUUAAGGGUCCUGAAGGAACGUUGAAGACGACGACGUUGAUAGGCCGGGUGUGUAAGCGCAGCGAUGCGUUGAGCUAACCGGUACUAAUGAACCGUGAGGCUUAACCUU